rnacentral:rRNA from 1 species
UACGGGGGGGGCAAGCGUUGUUCGGAAUUACUGGGCGUAAAGAGCGUGUAGGCGGCCAGGUAGGUCUGCUGUGAAAACUCGAGGCUUAACCUCGAGCUGUCGGCGGAAACCAUCUGGCUAGAGUCCGGAAGAGGAGAAUGGAAUUCCCGGUGUAGCGGUGAAAUGCGCAGAUAUCGGGAGAACACCCGUGGCGAAGGCGGUUCUCUGGGACGGUACUGACGCUGGAGAACGCGGAA